UGAGGAAUAUUGGUCAAUGGACGCAAGUCUGAACCAGCCAUGCCGCGUGCAGGAAGAAGGUGCUAUGCAUUGUAAACUGCUUUUAUACGGGGGUAAUUACAGGUACGUGUACCUGGUUGAAAGUACCGUAUGAAUAAGGAUCGGCUAACUCCGUGCCAGCAGCCGCGGUAAUACGGAGGAUUCGAGCGUUAUCCGGAUUUAUUGGGUUUAAAGGGUGCGUAGGCUGUCAGGUAAGUUAGAGGUGAAAGCUCGAUGCUCAACAUCGAAACUGCCUCUGAUACUGUCUGACUAGAGUGUAGUUGC
rnacentral:rRNA from 1 species